rnacentral:rRNA from 1 species
UACGGAAGGCAGCAGUGGGGAAUAUUGCACAAUGGGCGAAAGCCUGAUGCAGCUAUGCCGCGUGUAUGAAGAAGGCCUUAGGGUUGUAAAGUACUUUCAUCGGGGAGGAAAAACAAAACUAAUAAUUUUAUUUCUUGACGUUACCCGAAAAAGAAGCACCGGCUAACUCCGUGCCAGCAGCCGCGGUAAUACGGAGGGUGCUAGCGUUAAUCAGAAUUACUGGGCGUAAAGAGCACGUAGGUGGUUUUUUUAAGUCAGAUGUGAAAUCCCCUGGGCUUAACCUAGGAACUGCAUUUUGAAAACUGAAAUACUAGAGUAUCGUAGAGGGAGGUAGAAUUCUAGGUGUAGCGGUGAAAUGCGUAGAUAUCUGGAGGAAUACCUGUGGCGAAAGCGGCCUCCUAAACGAAUACUGACACUGAGGUGCGAAAGCGUGGGGAGCAAACAGGGAUUAGAUACC